rnacentral:misc_RNA from 1 species
UAUAAAUUCAAGAUGGCCGCCGUUACAAAAUGGCGGAUAAUUUAUGUUUUAUUAAUCCCAUCAAUAUGGGUAUCAAAUGAAAGGGCUCAAUAAGCAGAAUACAAUAUACUAUAAAAAAUUGAAAUCCAAGAUGGCGGCCGCUACAAAAUGGCGGAUAGCGUAGGUUUUAUCAAUCCCAUCAAUAUGGGUAUCAAAUGAAAGGGCUCAACAA